rnacentral:misc_RNA from 1 species
ACAGCUUCCUCCAAAUGACUCGAUAUCCUCCUGAAAAAUUUGUUCAAACAAUUCUUGCAACUCCUCGAAGCUUUCCCCAUUUUCCUGUCAAAGUCACAUCCAAUCUAAGCUACUAACAAAUAAUCAGUUAUGACAUAGAUACUCAAUCAUGUUAUGACAAAAAUAUUUGAUCAUUAAAUCAUUAAGAAUUAAUGCUAAUUACACGCUAUGACUCUCAGUUUAUUAGAUAAUUAUUCAAUAAAAUCGUUAAACAUUCAAUGAGGUCAUGGACCAGGAAUAAAUAGCCAACUUUUCUGGUGUCCAUUAAGCCUACACAAGGGCCCAUUCCCUAGAACACACAGCAUACUCACAGGAAAUUUUUAUGUUGGGUCCUUUUAUAUCCAAUAUUGGAUUUCAUAGGAUCCUUGCAUGCAAGACAUGAUAUCAUAGUUAAUAUAUAAAGGGUUUCAGCCCAUAUGCUGGUAUAUGAAUUAUUGUGCAAGAUCAGAGUACUAAUUUUUAAUAAAUAUAAAGAGCAUAAUCUCUCAUAUGGUCAUUCUUGUCUAUAGCAAUGUUUCAAAUGUAUUAAGCAAAUCUAAAGUAUAGAUUCGAAUUGUCUAAAGUAUUUUCAUGAUAAGUUAAGGAUUUUAAAUUAAAAUUAUAAGUGUCAAAAGCAAUAUGGUGAAGAAAAGAAUUUAUGUUGGGGUUUUGAGUUCCCAAUUGGCCCCUCUAAUUCCUUAUUUGUCAACUAAACAACAAAGUUAGUUCUGUUAGCACCCAUAAAUUAUCAUAGGAUUUCACAAAAAGUUCAUUCUAAUUCCACUCCAAAUAUUCCAAUUAAAGUAGAAAGCUUACAUUAGGCUUUGUUUUGCUCAUCAUGGUUGCCAUUUCACUCAGAAAAUCACCCAUUCCGUUCUCGUCUUCAUCGCUGUCAUAAGCACCUACAUCGUACAGAAACCUCUUGUUGGCGUCAGAGAGAACAGAGUAGGCCUGUUGUAUUGCCUGAAAAUUCUGUUUCGCUUCUUCUACAAACUGUGAACUCCCUGAAGCUGAACAGCGAUCUGGGUGCCAUCUCUAUCGCAGAAAAACACAAAUCUCUUUUACUAUAAUGCUUAAUUUUCCGGGAAAAUUUUACUCCUCUUCCCAGAAAAUCUAUUGUUAUAGACACACCAACCAAACCAACUUCAAAACAAAAACUUUCUGCGCAUAUCUUGCCAAGUCAAAGCAAAAACAUCAUUUGAAUGAUUGAAUCAGCUUAUUUUCUAUAAAAUUAAGACAUGAAAAACUACUCUUCCUUUUGUUUUCUAUAUACAAUAUCAAAAACCCAUAAAUUCAUUUCAUUGUUACUGCGAAAAACAGAACUAACUUGACGCUUGUUUUUAACUUGGAGAAAUAACAGAUGAUUGAGGUGUGAUGUGAAGAAACAAGAGGGAAGGGAAGGCAGGGCAGUUAAGGUCUAACCAGUGCAAGUUUUUUAUAAGCAUUCCUGAGCUCUGUUGCAGUGCAUUCCUUGUUCAAUCCCAAAACUUGAUAAUAGUCUUUACUUUUGCUUUUAUCUUCUCCAUUUGCCAUUCUUCCUCUCAGAAACACUCUAAAAAACCCCACAAAACCAGCACACCGAAGAACAAAAUUCUUUAUUGUCGACAAAGUAGACUAACCCAGAAGCUAAAACACAGAAAAGACGCAAACCCACGUACAGAAAUCACCAAGUGUAAAAUAAAAAUAAAGAUACCGUAUGGAACCUUAGCAGCAGUUUCCGUGAGGGAAAAGAUCGAAGAGAGAAUAGAAGGGAAGAAAAGAAAGGAAAAGCUUGAUCCCCUCUGCUUCCAAAGACGCCAAGGC